rnacentral:rRNA from 1 species
CAUGUAGGCGGCUCGCCAAGUCUGAUGUGAAAGCCCGGGGCUCAACCCCGGAAGUGCAUUGGAAACUGGCGAACUUGAGUACGGGAGAGGAAAGUGGAAUUUCGAGUGUAGGGGUGAAAUCCGUAGAUAUUCGAAGGAACACCAGUGGCGAAGGCGGCUUUCUGGACCGAUACUGACGCUGAGAUGCGAAAGCGUGGGGAGCAAACAGGAUUAGAUACCAUGGUAGUCC